AUUGAACGCUGGCGGCAUGCUUUACACAUGCAAGUCGAACGGUAACAGGGUGCUUGCACCGCUGACGAGUGGCGAACGGGUGAGUAAUGCGUCGGAACGUGCCGAGUAGUGGGGGAUAACGCAGCGAAAGUUGUGCUAAUACCGCAUACGUACUGAGGUAGAAAGUGGGGGACCUUCGGGCCUCACGCUAUUCGAGCGGCCGACGUCUGAUUAGCUAGUAGGUGAGGUAAAGGCUCACCUAGGCGACGAUCAGUAGCGGGUCUGAGAGGAUGAUCCGCCACACUGGGACUGAGAAACGGCCCAGACUCCUACGGGAGGCAGCAGUGGGGAAUUUUGGACAAUGGGCGAAAGCCUGAUCCAGCCAUGCCGCGUGUCUGAAGAAGGCCUUCGGGUUGUAAAGGACUUUUGUCAGGGAGGAAAUCCCUAGUGCUAAUAACACUGGGGGAUGACAGUACCUGAAGAAUAAGCACCGGCUAACUUCGUGCCAGCCGCCGCAGUAA
rnacentral:rRNA from 1 species